GACGAAUGCUGGCUGCGUGCUUAACACAUGCAAGUCGAACGGUGAACAGGGGCUUGCCCCUGGGAUCAGUGGCGAACGGGUGAGUAACACGUGGGCAACCUGCCCCUCACUCUGGGAUAACUCCGGGAAACCGGGGCUAAUACCGGAUACGACCAGACACGACAUCGGGUUUGGUGGAAAGAACUUCGGUGAGGGAUGGGCCCGCGGCCUAUCAGCUAGUUGGUGAGGUAACGGCUCACCAAGGCGACGACGGGUAGCCGGCCUGAGAGGGCGACCGGCCACACUGGGACUGAGACACGGCCCAGACUCCUACGGGAGGCAGCAGUGGGGAAUAUUGCGCAAUGGGCGAAAGCCUGACGCAGCGACGCAGCGUGAGGGACGAC
rnacentral:rRNA from 1 species